rnacentral:rRNA from 1 species
GUGAACGCUGGCGGUAGGCCUAACACAUGCAAGUCGAACGGCAGCACAGUAAGAGCUUGCUCUUACGGGUGGCGAGUGGCGGACGGGUGAGGAAUACAUCGGAAUCUACUUUUUCGUGGGGGAUAACGUAGGGAAACUUACGCUAAUACCGCAUACGACCUACGGGUGAAAGCAGGGGAUCUUCGGACCUUGCGCGAUUGCAUGAGCCGAUGUCGGAUUAGCUAGUUGGCGGGGUAAAGGCCCACCAAGGCGACGAUCCGUAGCUGGUCUGAGAGGAUGAUCGGCCACACUGGAACUGAGACACGGUCCAGACUCCUACGGGAGGCAGCAGUGGGGAAUAUUGGACAAUGGGCGCAAGCCUGAUCCAGCAAUACCGCGUGGGUGAAGAAGGCCUUCGGGUUGUAAAGCCCUUUUGUUGGGGAAGAAAAGCAGCAGGUGAAUACCCCGCUGUUCUGACGGUACCCAAAGAAUAAGCACCGGCUAACUUCGUG